rnacentral:rRNA from 1 species
CCUACGGGAGGCAGCAGUGAGGAAUAUUGGUCAAUGGACGAGAGUCUGAACCAGCCAAGUAGCGUGAAGGAUGACUGCCCUAUGGGUUGUAAACUUCUUUUAUAAAGGACUAAAACGAGGCACGUGUGCCUUUUUGCAUGUACUUUAUGAAAAAGCAUCGGCUAACUCCGUGCCAGCAGCCGCGGUAAUAGGGAGGAUGCGAGCUUUAUCCGGUUUUAUUGGGUUUAAAGGGUGCGUAGGCGCGCGUUUACGUCAGCGGUAAAAAUUCGGGGCUAAACCCCGUCGGGCCGUUGAAACUGGGGGCCUUGAGUGGGCGAGAAGAAGGCGGAAUGCGUGGUGUAGCGGUGAAAUGCAUAGAUAUCACGCAGAACCCCGAUUGCGAAGGCAGCCUUCCGGCGCCCUACUGACGCUGAGGCACGAAAGUGCGGGGAUCGAACAGGAUUAGAUACCCUUGUAGUC